rnacentral:rRNA from 1 species
AUGAGACGUGUGCGUGCCGCUUUGCGGCGCUGGUGCCGUUCAAAGCCCAGCCUGCGGGUUCUCUUGGAUAACAAUAAGCACGUUGUUGCUUAUUUAAAUGCUGUUGAGGAGCUCAGGUCACUUUCUGCUGUUGAAACUGUGCUCAGGGUGUUUGCUACUGCUAAGGCCGAACAACUGAUCCUUUGGCAGACUGCAGCUUGGCGCCGCAGGGCCAAGGUUCGUUGGUGUGUUUCAGGGGAUGAAAACAGUCAGUUUUUUCAUGCUGCGGCUAACUGUCAGGCUCGUCGAAACAAGAUCAAGGUGCUGGUUCAGGAUGGUGUGGAAUUUUUGCAGACCAACCAAAAGCUGCAGUUGGCCACCGACUAUUUUAAAGCUAUCUUGGGACAGCCCGCGUCCUCGUUGGACACUGUGGACCUUCCUUCUCUCUAUGCCCCGCUUGACCUUUCUGAGCUCACAGCAGAUUUCUCGUGGGCAGAGGUGGUGCAGGCCAUCAACUGCUCGCCAAGUAACAGAAGCCCGGGCCCUGAUGGUUUCACUAAUGAGUUUUACAAGGCUUUCAAACUGCUUAUAAAGGAUGAUUUGCUCCGGUUCUUUGCUGCUUUUCAUAAGAACAAAGUGGAUCUCUCGGGCAUCAAUUCUGCUUUUAUUACCCUGCUCCCUAAAAAAGAUACGCCUCUGGAGAUGCGAGAUUUCAGGCCUAUUUCUCUUGUGCAUAGUGUGCCAAAGUUGGCCUCUAAAGUCCUGACUAAUCGGCUCAAGGUUUGGAUUCCACAGUUGGUUCACUCACUACAAUCUGGGUUCCUGAAGGGCCGUUCCAUAGUCAAGAACUUUGCUUUGGCUACUGAAAUGGUCCAGUAUGCGCACAAAAGAAAGCUGCCGGUCAUUGCCCUAAAGCUGGACUUUCAUAAAGCCUUUGACAGUGUCAGUUGGUGUUGCUUACGCAAGAUUUUUGAUGCCAGAGGUUUUCCGACAGUGUGGAUCAAUUGGAUACACACCCUCUUGACUUCUGGCAGCUCCAGAGUGCUUCUCAAUGGUGAGCUGGGGGACCCCAUUCAGGCAAAAAAAGGCUUUCGGCAAGGGGAUUCUUUAUCACUGUAUUUAUUCAUUCUUGUUGCCGAUGUGCUCCAAAGGAUGCUCUGUCAGUUGUUUCAAAAUGGCUCGUUGGUGCAUCCCCUUGGCUCAGACUGCUUUUUCCCGGUCCUACAAUAUGCAGACGACACGCUACUACUCUUCCAUGGCAGCAUUCAGCAAGCAGAGCUAAUUGAGUCUGCUCUCACGGCCUUCUCCGCUUUCUCUGGGCUCACUAUAAACUUCCACAAAAGCACCAUCGUUCUAGUCUCAGUGGAUGCAACUACAGCUUCUCCUAUUGCUCAGCUCCUCGGGUGCCCGGUUUCUUCUUUCCCAUGUACAUAUUUGGGCCUACCCCUCUCCUUGCACAAGAUAACACAUGGUAUGUUGCUGCCAGUUAUCCAUAAGGUUGAUCGUCGCCUCUCCGGUUGGCUGGCUACCUUCUUAUCCUUGGGAGGGCGGCUGACUCUCAUUAAUUCGGUGCUUGCGGGUAUUCUGAGUUAUUUCAUGUCUUGCUUUGCCUGGCCUAUGGAAUCUCUUGGCAAGUUGGAAGGUCUGCUGCGUGCUUUCUUCUGGCAAGGAAAAAAUACAGUUAAGGGAGGGCAAUGCUUAGUUGCUUGGGACACGGUCUCUCUACCUCGUCUCAAUGGCGGCCUGGGUGUACGACAGCUC